AGCGCGCGUAGGUGGUUUGGUAAGUUGGAUGUGAAAGCCCCGGGCUCAACCUGGGAACUGCAUCCAAAACUGCCUGACUAGAGUACGGUAGAGGGUGGUGGAAUUUCCUGUGUAGCGGUGAAAUGCGUAGAUAUAGGAAGGAACACCAGUGGCGAAGGCGACCACCUGGACUGAUACUGACACUGAGGUGCGAAAGCGUGGGGAGCAAACAGGAUUAGAUACCCUGGUAGUCCACGCCGUAAACGAUGUCGACUAGCCGUUGGGCUCCUUGAGAGCUUAGUGGCGCAGCUAACGCAUUAAGUCGACCGCCUGGGGAGUACGGCCGCAAGGUUAAAACUCAAAUGAAUKGMCGGGGGCCCGCACAAGCAGCGGAGCCUGUGGUUUAAUUCGAAGCAACGCGAAGCACCUUACCUACCCUUGACAUCCCCUGAAUUAACUAGAGAUAGGCGAAGCCCUUCGCGGCAGGGAGACAGGUGGUGCAUGGUUGUCGUCAGCUCGUGUCGUGAGAUGUUAGAUUAAGUCCUGCAACGAGCGCCACCCUUAUCAUUAGUUGCUACCAUUAAGUUGAGCACUGUAGUGAGACUGCCCGGGUUAACCGAGAGGAGGGUGGGGAUCACGUCAUAUCAUCAUGCCCGUUAUGUGCAGGGCACCACACGCGCUACAAUGGUGAAACAGAGAGAUGCAAUACCGCGAGGUGCAAACAAACUAUAAAACUCACCCCAGUUAGGAUUGUAGGCUGAAACUCGCCUACAAGAAGCAGGAGUUGCUAGUAAUCGCGAAUCAGAAUGUCGCGGUGAAUUUGUUCCCGGCCUUUGUACACCCCCCCCCUCACCCC
rnacentral:rRNA from 1 species